rfam:Beta vulgaris subsp. vulgaris chromosome 2, whole genome shotgun sequence.
AUACCUUUCUCCGCCUUUUGGCUAACAUCAAGUGUAGUAUCUGUUCUUAUCAGUUUAAUAUCUGAUACGUGGGUCAAUGACCCACUACAGUAGCUUGCUGCUGGGAUCAGGGCCGUCUUGAAAACUUU